GAUGAAGAACGCAGUGAAAUGCGAUAAGUAAUGUGAAUUGCAGAAUUCAGUGAAUCAUCGAAUCUUUGAACGCACCUUGCACCCUUUGGUAUUCCGAAGGGUAUGCUCGUUUGAGUGUCAUUGUACUCUCACACUUCUAAUUCCUUUCGGGAUUGGGAGCGGUGGACUUGGGUGUUGCUGCUUUAGUUGUGGCUCACCUCAAAUAAGUUAGUGCAACUCUUGGUUGGACAUAGUACGGCGUGAUAAGUGUCUUCGCCGGCGCCUCUGUAAGGAGGGUGGCCGAUCGGGAGCUCUGUGCUUCAAACCGUCUUCGGACAAUCUUUGACAACUUGACCUCAAAUUGAGUAGGACUACCCGCUGAACUUAAGCAUAUCAAUAAGCGGAGGA
rnacentral:misc_RNA from 1 species